UGGGGAAUAUUGGGCAAUGGGCGCAAGCCUGACCCAGCAACGCCGCGUGAAGGAAGAAGGCUUUCGGGUUGUAAACUUCUUUUGUCAGGGAAGAGGAGAAGACGGUACCUGACGAAUAAGCCACGGCUAACUACGUGCCAGCAGCCGCGGUAAUACGUAGGGAGCGAGCGUUGUCCGGAAUUACUGGGUGUAAAGGGAGCGUAGGCGGGGUAUCAAGUCUGUUGUUAAAUCUACCGGCUCAACUGGUAGCUGCGGCAGAAACUGGUACUCUUGAGUGAAGUAGAGGCAGGCGGAAUUCCGUGUGUAGCGGUGAAAUGCGUAGAUAUACGGAGGAACACCAGUGGCGAAGGCGGCCUGCUGGGCUUUAACUGACGCUGAGGCUCGAAAGUGUGGGGAGCAAACAGGAUUAGAUACCCUGGUAGU
rnacentral:rRNA from 1 species